rnacentral:rRNA from 1 species
ACGAACGCUGGCGGCGUGCUUAACACAUGCAAGUCGAACGGAAAGGCCCUGCUUUUGUGGGGUGCUCGAGUGGCGAACGGGUGAGUAACACGUGAGUAACCUGCCCUUGACUUUGGGAUAACUUCAGGAAACUGGGGCUAAUACCGGAUAGGAGCUCCUGCUGCAUGGUGGGGGUUGGAAAGUUUCGGCGGUUGGGGAUGGACUCGCGGCUUAUCAGCUUGUUGGUGGGGUAGUGGCUUACCAAGGCUUUGACGGGUAGCCGGCCUGAGAGGGUGACCGGCCACAUUGGGACUGAGAUACGGCCCAGACUCCUCCGGGAGGCAGCAGUGGGGAAUAUUGCACAAUGGGCGGAAGCCUGAUGCAGCAACGCCGCGUGCGGGAUGACGGCCCUCGGGUUGUAAACCGCUUUCGCCUGUGACGAAGCGUGAGUGACGGUAAUGGGUAAAGAAGCACCGGCUAACUACGUG